rnacentral:rRNA from 1 species
UACGUAGGGUGCAAGCGUUGUCCGGAAUUAUUGGGCGUAAAGAGCUCGUAGGCGGUUUGUCGCGUCGAAUGUGAAAACCCGGGGCUCAACCCCGGGCCUGCAUUCGAUACGGGCAGACUAGAGUUUGGUAGGGGAGUCUGGAAUUCCUGGUGUAGCGGUGAAAUGCGCAGAUAUCAGGAGGAACACCGGUGGCGAAGGCGGGACUCUGGGCCGAUACUGACGCUGAGGAGCGAAAGCGUGGGGAGCGAACAGG